rnacentral:snRNA from 1 species
GUGCUUGCUUCAGCAGCAUGGACACUAAAAUUGGAACUAUACAGAGAAGAUUAGCAUGGUCCCUGCACAAGGAUGACACAAAAAUACGUGAAACACUCCAUAUUUUU